GGGGGGCUCAGCCGAUACCGAGUCUCAACGUCACACGAACUCGGUUCGUUCUUUCCUGUACCACUAGUAUUUUUUUCGUGUUUCUGCGCCCCCCACAGCCUCCACACGCUUUCCCCCAAAUCGCCGCCGCCAUGGAGAAGGAGAAGAAGCUGUCCUUCUCCAUCCCUUCCAAGCUCAGGCCGCCCAAGCCGCCCCGCCCCGCCGCCGGCGCUGAUUCCUCCGCCGCCAGCGGCAACUCCGCUUCCGCGGCCGCUGCCCCCGCCCAGCAAUUCGUCACCGAGUUCGAUCCGUCGCAAACCCUAGCCGCCGGCGCCGCGUCCGCCGUCAUCGCGCCCCUCCCCAACUCCGGCCACUUCCUCAACCACCGCUCCCGCAAACCCUCCUCCCUCCCGACCCCCGAGGAGGAGGCCGCGCUUGCCGCCUCCACCGCCGGUGGCCCCACAUUCGUGCUCGACACCUCCGAGGCCCCCGACAACCCCUCCUCCCACAUAGGCUAUGGCCUCACCCGACGCGGCGCCGACGCCGACGCUGAGGCUGACGCCACGGAGCCGGGUAAGACGCAGUCUUCCAAGGAAUCAGAGAAGAAGUCGACCUCUCCAGCCAGAGAUGGCGGCUCCAGCGGUGACCUUAUGCUGCGACGGUACAAGGAAGACAUGGCCAGCCUCCCGGACCACCGUGGUAUAGACGAGUUUGAGGAGGUGCCUGUGGAGGGCUUCGGUGCUGCUCUCCUUGCUGGUUACGGCUGGUCGGAAGGCAAAGGGCUCGGCCGCAAUAACAAGGAAGAUACCAAGGUUGUUGAGUAUAACCGCCGUGCCGGUACGCUGGGAUUAGGCUACGACCCUUCUGAGGCAGAUCCUAAGAAGACUCGCUCCGGCGACUGGGUUAUUGGUGGAAAGAAGCCGACAGAGAAUGGUGGAAAGAAGUCCGCCGAGAAUGGAAAUGCAAAGAAGAGAGAUAGGGACAAGGAAGACAGAGUCCGGGAGAGGGAUUCAAGUUCCCGACAGAAGAGAUCUGGUGAUCUUAGGGCCGAGAGGGAGGUUCGAGAGAAAGAGAGAAAAUCUCGGGAUAGUCGAGAAGAAAAGAGUAGCCGCGAUGUUGGUAACAAAGUGCGCUGGUUACAGAGCAAUAUUAGGGUUAGAGUGGUUAAUGAGAGGUUCAGCAGAAGGUUGUACCUGCAGAAGGCAAAAAUUGUUGAUGUGGUUGGACCAACGACAUGUGACAUAAUGAUGGAUGAUGGGUCAGAGCUUGUGCAGGGGGUGGAGCAGGAUAUGCUUGAAACAGUCCUGCCACGGACAAACGGGCAAGUGCUUGUGCUCUGUGGGAAGCACAAGGGGGUGUAUGGGCAUCUGGUAGAGAAGAAUUCAGAGGCAGAGACUGCAGUAGUGGAGGAUGCCGAUACAAAAGACAUGGUGCGUGUGAAAUAUGAUCAGAUUGCAGAGUACGUUGGGGACCCAGAAUUGCUUGGGCAUUGAUUAUUUCUUCUUGAGGAGGGGACAUCUGUUUUCCAGGAGCUCUUCUAAUGUGCGGUUGAUGACUUUUCUCCUAUAGUGCCUACUGCUGAAGAUCACAAUGGAAAUACAGAGCACCUGACAAACAAGUUUCCAGACGACAGGCUUGGCGACCGAUAUUUACAGGUGCUCUGCUUUUAUGUAUGAUGUGACAUAUGAUGCCCUGUUUCCAGUUUGUGCAUAGCACUGUUUCAAUCAGUCUCAAUUCCAACACAAUUUACAUGCCAACCUAUUCUAUGUGAGGAGUCUUGAUCAUCUUCGGAGUGGUAGCUUUGUUCUUUGUGGUAUCAUCACUUUGUGCAUGCGAUGAUCUGAUGGCGGCUGUGGUUAGAGGUGUUGCGCAGUAUGCAAAUAUCACUUUGGUCUACCAGUCAAGAUGUGAGAUGACAUGGUUCACUGAUACUCAGGUUGAGAAACAAUUUUCUUUCCAGCAUGGUAGUUGGGAAAACAAACUGGACUCUGUAAAUCAGGGACAUGAUACACAUUUGCUUUGGUCCUAAGCUUCAGUGUGUAAAAAAUUACCAGUGUUGCAAAAUUGUAAACUCUUGUAUCGAUGUAUAACCGGAUGGUUAGCUGAAUGGAUAUCAAUUGAAGUCACUUGGGCUCAAUUGUGUUGAAACUGCUGGAACUCAGAGAGCCUGGGAUAUCCAGAGAAUGCAAGCAAAGCACGGCCCAUGCACAGUACCUGUAUGGGCCGUGCAUGGGCGGACAUUUCGGCGCCCUAACCUGCCUCUUGCUGAAAGCAUUUCGGAGACAUGUACUUUUACUCCAUUUUUUCUGUUUUGCUGCAUUUCUUCAUUUAUUAAGUGAUCUGGUCCUUCCACGGAAGGAAUCAUUUUGUAAAAUAGUCAUCUCUCCACCGAGAGCGAUGUAUGUCAACUCCAAUUAUAUGUACCUGCACGGCAUAAUUCUUAUGGUUGGACUUGGAUGCUUCCAAGCUAAUCAUUUGGGAAUUUCUCGCUCAACGCACUUCAUAAUCAUUUUGAUGAUCA
rnacentral:rRNA from 1 species